ACGGAGGGUGCGAGCGUUAAUCGGAAUCACUGGGCGUAAAGCGCACGUAGGCGGUGUCGUAAGUCGGAUGUGAAAGCCCUCGGCUCAACCGGGGAACUGCAUUCGAUACUGCGAUGCUUGAGUGCCGGAGAGGGUGGCGGAAUUCCAGGUGGAGGAGUGAAAGCCGUAGAUAUCUGGAGGAGCGCCAGUGGCGAAGGCAGACACCUGGCAGGAAACUGACGCUGAGGUGCGAAAGCGUGGGGAUCAAACAG
rnacentral:rRNA from 1 species